CUCUAUAAUGUUCUUGGUAUUAAAAAGAAAAAGCAUAUUUGUCACAGAAAUUUAGUUAACAUCUUACAACUGAACAUGUAUGUAUGUUGCUUAGAUAAAUGUAAUCACUGUAAACAUCUAUAUGAUCUGGGAUUUUGUUUUUAUUUUGAAAUGGGAGCUUUUUUGUUUACAAGUUCAUUAAAAACUAAAAACUGUUUCUGUAAGGAAAUGAGAUUUUUUUUAAACAACAAAAAAUGCCUUGCUGACUCACUAUUAAAUAAAAAUCUCCCCAAUUUUUUGAUAGACUACUUCAAGCCAUUUGUUACAUGGUAUUCCUUUGCAAGUCAAUUUAGGUUUCGUGUUAUAACUUUUCCUCUUUUUUUAAAAAAAUAAAACGAAAAACGUAAUUCUUUUGUCUGAAGGGGAAAGGCAUUCUUUCAUUUUUUCUUUUCUUUUUUUUUUUUAUGACUUGCAGGCACAAUAUCUAGUACUGCAACUGCCAGAACUUGGUAUUGUAGCUGCUGCCCGCUGACUAGCAGCUGGACUGAUUUUGAAUAAAAAUGAAAGCAUUAAAGGGUUUCCCUACAAAACAUUUUUCUUUAAAAUACUUGUGAAGUGGCUAUAAGCAGUUGACUUUCACCCUUGGAGAGCAUCACACUGUGUGAGGUUCAGUGAUUGUUGACCCUCCCCAGCCCCUCCUGCUUCUUUAAGUUAUCUGUGUGCGUGCGCUUCCUCUCAAUCUUCUUUGCACGCUCAUUUCUUUUUCUCUGACCCAUGAGAAAGGAAAACUUACUGAUGAUAAUUUUUAAGUAAUGUAAUUUAUUCAUUUAUAGCAUGUCAGGAUAAAUUAAAAGAACAUUUGUCUGGAAAUGCUGCCGGGAGCCUAUUGUGUAAAUGUUAGGUAUUUUGUAAAAUAACCUUGAAAUUGUAAAUUGACACGUGUUUGGUCAGAUUGUGUCAAGUUUAAUUUGUUUUGUUUUCUUUUUUCUUUUUUUAUUUGAAAACUACUUUAGCAAUAAUUAAUUCCAUGAUUAUCACAUUCUGCCAUUAAGGGAUAUUAGUACCGUAAUACUGAAGAAAUCUUAUUAAGUCUGAACUUUUGGGGUAGGCAGCUUCUUUGUUUCUUUUCUAUCCACCCUUGUCGGUUGAGGUAUUUGUUUCUUGACUAAUAAACCCUUUGAUACUUUUAGCCAGAAAUCGGUCUCAUAAAGCUAUUUUUGAGUAUAGUUUGUGUAAAAUAAAAAUGUUUAGCUUUGGUAAUAACUUUUCCAAGCUGAACUCCCUCUAGCAAGAUAUUUUUCAGUGCUUUUAUUUACUAUGCACUUAGACUAUGCACUUUUUCUGAAAUAUUUUUGUAACACUUUUUUGUAUUUUUGCCAUUUGAAAAGGUUGUGGUGUAGUUGGUCUGUGAUUAAGUUGCAGAUUUAAAACUGCUGUUAGCUUUGUAAAUCAAAACAUAGGUGUUUUUUGUCCUGGUAUAUCGUCAUUCCAUCUGCAGCUGGAGCUGGAAUCCCAUUGAUCUUCUAGCUACCAUUCAUUUUCUUCACUGUUCACAAAAGAAGAAUGUGAAAUUCAGUGAAUGCUGUUACUAAUCCUGUCGCGAGAUGAAUCUCAUUUCACCAAAAUUAAAUUAUGUUUUUCCGCUAAAAUGAUGAUACAAGUUGAAGACACAUCACUCUGAAAUGGGAAGACCUCACCACUUAAGGCUCCACAGUGGCUUACUCAGCUGAACUCUAGGCUACUACUCUUUACUUUGUUCACCCAUUGGGGGGUGCAGUUUUUUUAAAAUGUUGGGAGAUGGCCAUUCUAACUACUGUUGAAUGUCUCUGUUUUGGGAAGGUAUAACAAGAAAUAAAAAAGAAUAUAUACGAAGGGAGAGACUGGUUAUCUCCUCCCAUAUGGUUGUGCUUAUCCUCUUAUGGCUUACAAAUGGAUAUUUGGAGGUUUGCUUUC